GGGUUGUGAGGUUAAGCGACUAAGCGUACACGGUGGAUGCCCUGGCAGUCAGAGGCGAUGAAGGGCGUGCUAAUCUGCGAUAAGCGCCGGUAAGGUGAUAUGAACCGUUAUAACCGGCGAUACCCGAAUGGGGAAACCCAGUGUGACUCGUCACACUAUCAUUAACUGAAUCCAUAGGUUAAUGAGGCGAACCGGGGGAACUGAAACAUCUAAGUACCCCGAGGAAAAGAAAUCAACCGAGAUUCCCCCAGUAGCGGCGAGCGAACGGGGAGGAGCCCAGAGCCUGAAUCAGCAUGUGUGUUAGUGGAAGCGUCUGGAAAGGCGCGCGAUACAGGGUGACAGCCCCGUACACAAAAGCGCAUGUGCUGUGAGCUCGAUGAGUAGGGCGGGACACGUGGUAUCCUGUCUGAAUAUGGGGGGACCAUCCUCCAAGGCUAAAUACUCCUGACUGACCGAUAGUGAACCAGUACCGUGAGGGAAAGGCGAAAAGAACCCCGGCGAGGGGAGUGAAAAAGAACCUGAAACCGUGUACGUACAAGCAGUGGGAGCCCCACCACUAAGCCAGUGGUGAACUCCGCAUACGCAUCCUUUGCUGAGGAUACGGUUAACGGAGCGAAAGCGACGUUCAACCUCAAAAGAAGCAGAGGGGGCUUAGUGGUGGGGUGACUGCGUACCUUUUGUAUAAUGGGUCAGCGACUUAUAUUCUGUAGCAAGGUUAACCGUAUAGGGGAGCCGUAGGGAAACCGAGUCUUAACCGGGCGUUAAGUUGCAGGGUAUAGACCCGAAACCCGGUGAUCUAGCCAUGGGCAGGUUGAAGGUUGGGUAACACUAACUGGAGGACCGAACCGACUAAUGUUGAAAAAUUAGCGGAUGACCUGUGGCUGGGGGUGAAAGGCCAAUCAAACCGGGAGAUAGCUGGUUCUCCCCGAAAGCUAUUUAGGUAGCGCCUCGUGAAUUCAUCUCCGGGGGUAGAGCACUGUUUCGGCUAGGGGGUCAUCCCGACUUACCAACCCGAUGCAAACUGCGAAUACCGGAGAAUGUUAUCACGGGAGACACACGGCGGGUGCUAACGUCCGUCGUGAAGAGGGAAACAACCCAGACCGCCAGCUAAGGUCCCAAAGUCAUGGUUAAGUGGGAAACGAUGUGGGAAGGCCCAGACAGCCAGGAUGUUGGCUUAGAAGCAGCCAUCAUUUAAAGAAAGCGUAAUAGCUCACUGGUCGAGUCGGCCUGCGCGGAAGAUGUAACGGGGCUAAACCAUGCACCGAAGCUGCGGCAGCGACACUGUGUGUUGUUGGGUAGGGGAGCGUUCUGUAAGCCUGUGAAGGUGGCCUGUGAGGGUUGCUGGAGGUAUCAGAAGUGCGAAUGCUGACAUAAGUAACGAUAAAGCGGGUGAAAAGCCCGCUCGCCGGAAGACCAAGGGUUCCUGUCCAACGUUAAUCGGGGCAGGGUGAGUCGACCCCUAAGGCGAGGCCGAAAGGCGUAGUCGAUGGGAAACGGGUUAAUAUUCCCGUACUUGGUGUUACUGCGAAGGGGGGACGGAGAAGGCUAUGUUGGCCGGGCGACGGUUGUCCCGGUUUAAGCGUGUAGGUGUGUGUUCCAGGUAAAUCCGGUUCACUUUAACACUGAGGCGUGAUGACGAGGCACUACGGUGCUGAAGCAACAAAUGCCCUGCUUCCAGGAAAAGCCUCUAAGCAUCAGGUAACAUCAAAUCGUACCCCAAACCGACACAGGUGGUCAGGUAGAGAAUACCAAGGCGCUUGAGAGAACUCGGGUGAAGGAACUAGGCAAAAUGGUGCCGUAACUUCGGGAGAAGGCACGCUGACACGUAGGUGAAGUGAUUUACUCAUGGAGCUGAAGUCAGUCGAAGAUACCAGCUGGCUGCAACUGUUUAUUAAAAACACAGCACUGUGCAAACACGAAAGUGGACGUAUACGGUGUGACGCCUGCCCGGUGCCGGAAGGUUAAUUGAUGGGGUCAGCGCAAGCGAAGCUCCUGAUCGAAGCCCCGGUAAACGGCGGCCGUAACUAUAACGGUCCUAAGGUAGCGAAAUUCCUUGUCGGGUAAGUUCCGACCUGCACGAAUGGCGUAAUGAUGGCCAGGCUGUCUCCACCCGAGACUCAGUGAAAUUGAACUCGCUGUGAAGAUGCAGUGUACCCGCGGCAAGACGGAAAGACCCCGUGAACCUUUACUAUAGCUUGACACUGAACAUUGAGCCUUGAUGUGUAGGAUAGGUGGGAGGCUUUGAAGCGUGGACGCCAGUCUGCGUGGAGCCGACCUUGAAAUACCACCCUUUAAUGUUUGAUGUUCUAACGUGGACCCGUUACCCGGGUUGCGGACAGUGUCUGGUGGGUAGUUUGACUGGGGCGGUCUCCUCCUAAAGAGUAACGGAGGAGCACGAAGGUUGGCUAAUCCUGGUCGGACAUCAGGAGGUUAGUGCAAUGGCAUAAGCCAGCUUGACUGCGAGCGUGACGGCGCGAGCAGGUGCGAAAGCAGGUCAUAGUGAUCCGGUGGUUCUGAAUGGAAGGGCCAUCGCUCAACGGAUAAAAGGUACUCCGGGGAUAACAGGCUGAUACCGCCCAAGAGUUCAUAUCGACGGCGGUGUUUGGCACCUCGAUGUCGGCUCAUCACAUCCUGGGGCUGAAGUAGGUCCCAAGGGUAUGGCUGUUCGCCAUUUAAAGUGGUACGCGAGCUGGGUUUAGAACGUCGUGAGACAGUUCGGUCCCUAUCUGCCGUGGGCGCUGGAGAACUGAGGGGGGCUGCUCCUAGUACGAGAGGACCGGAGUGGACGCAUCACUGGUGUUCGGGUUGUCAUGCCAAUGGCACUGCCCGGUAGCUAAAUGCGGAAGAGAUAAGUGCUGAAAGCAUCUAAGCACGAAACUUGCCCCGAG
rnacentral:rRNA from 2 species